rnacentral:piRNA from 1 species
UUGGUCUGCUGCUAUGUACUGUAAUGCU